GACAGAGGGUGCAAACGUUGUUCGGAAUUACUGGGCGUAAAGCGCGUGUAGGCGGCAAGGCAAGUCGUGUGUGAAAGCCCCCGGCUCAACUGGGGAGGGUCACGCGAUACUGAUCGACUCGAAGGCAGGAGAGGGUAGUGGAAUUCCCGGUGUAGUGGUGAAAUGCGUAGAUAUCGGAAGGAACGCCGGUGGCGAAAGCGGCGUGCUGGACCUCUUCUGACGCUGAGGCGCGAAAGCUAGGGGAGCAAACGGG
rnacentral:rRNA from 1 species